AAUACUUCAAGAUGAGAAGGACAUGCCAUGGCAAAACAGACUGGGUCGAUGUCCAAUGGAAAGGGGGGGCUAUGAGCCACCCUAUUCAGCAGGAUGGAAGCAGCUGCGGAGUCAUUGUUGUCCAAAUGGCGAAAGCAUUGAUGGAAGCCUUACCUUUUAUUCCAAAUAUGGAAUUUGACACAACCAAGAAGGCAAUAAAAGAAGAAAGAUGAGCUCUGGCUCUUCAAAUCCUUGAAUCAUCAGUGUUUGAUGACCAGACAUGCUGUGCAAUGUGUGCUGCCUCCAAGCCCCCAGUUUCUGGACCUCCAAUUACAGACUGGGUGAGAGUAUGAGUUGUCAUUGUGUAAAUUUCAAGCAUAAAUAAGGAUAAACUCCCGAUAGUCAUAAAGUUGUAAUUUAUAGAAGACUGAACAGGUAUCUUUUCUGUUGUAUUUUAACAGAUCCAGUGUGACAGCAGCGACAGGUGGUUCCAUGCCCUGUGCCUUGAAAUAAAGAGCACUGAUUA